CCCGACUGCUAUUUGGGUGAGAAUAAGCCAUGCAAGUCGAAUGGAAUACCAAAAUAUUCCAUGGCAAACUGCUCAAUAACACGUGAUCAACUUACCCUAUGGAAAACAAUAACCUCUGGAAACGGAGGAUAAUGGCUUAUAGUUGAAAAGGCUUGGAAAAGUUUUUCAAUAAAAGGGAAUAAUAAAAAUGGUUAUUAUUUUGCCAUAGGAUAGGAUUGCGGUCGAUUAUGGCUGUUGGUGAGGUAUGGCUCACCAAACCAAUAAUCGAUAGGGGCCGUGAGAGCGGGAGCCCCGAGAUGGGUACUGAGACAACGACCCAGGCCUUACGAGGUGCAGCAGGCGCGAAAACUCCGCAAUACACGAAAGUGUGACGGGUUACCCAAAGUGCUUAAUUUUUAAGCUGUGGUAAGUGUGUAAUGUACCUUACUAGAAAGGAGAGGGCAAGGCUGGUGCCAGCCGCCGCGGUAAAACCAGCUCUUCAAGUGGUCGGGAUAUUAUUGGGCUUAAAGUGUCCGUAGCUUGUAUAAUAAGUUCCUGGUAAAAUCUAAUAGCUUAACUAUUAGUAUGCUAGGAAUACUGUUAUACUAGAGGGCGGGAGAGGUUUGAGGUACUUCAGGGGUAGGGGUGAAAUCCUAUAAUCCUUGAAGGACCACCAGUGGCGAAGGCGUCAGACUGGAACGCGCCUGACAGUGAGGGACGAAAGCCAGGGGAGCGAACCGGAUUAGAUACCCGGGUAGUCCUGGCCGUAAACGAUGCACACUAGGUGUUGGUAUGGCUAUGAGCCAUAUCAGUGCCGAAGGGAAACCAUUAAGUGUGCCGCCUGGGAAGUACGGUCGCAAGGCUAAAACUUAAAGGAAUUGGCGGGGGAGCACCACAAGGGGUGAAGCCUGCGGUUCA
rnacentral:rRNA from 1 species